CUACGGAGGAUCCGAGCGUUAUCCGGAUUUAUUGGGUUUAAAGGGUGCGCAGGCGGCCAUUUAAGUCAGCGGUUAAAUCGUGGGGCUCAACCCCAUUCUGCCGUUGAUACUGGGUGGCUUGAUUGCGGUCGAGGUUGGCGGAAUUCGUUGUGUAGCGGUGAAAUGCAUAGAUAUGACGAAGAACACCGAUUGCGUAGGCAGCUGACCAGACCGCAAAUGACGCUCAUGCACGAAAGUGCGGGGAUCGAACAGGAUUAGAUACCCUGGUAGUCCGCACAGUAAACGAUGAAUACUCGCUGUUUGCGAUACACGGUAAGCGGCCAAGCGAAAGCGUUAAGUAUUCCACCUGGGGAGUACGCCGGCAACGGUGAAACUCAAAGGAAUUGACGGGG
rnacentral:rRNA from 1 species